UACGUAGGGUGCAAGCGUUAUCCGGAAUUAUUGGGCGUAAAGAGCUCGUAGGCGGUUUGUCGCGUCUGCUGUGAAAACUGGAGGCUCAACCUCCAGCCUGCAGUGGGUACGGGCAGACUAGAGUGCGGUAGGGGAGAUUGGAAUUCCUGGUGUAGCGGUGGAAUGCGCAGAUAUCGGGAGGAACACCAGUGGCGAAGGCGGCACUCUGGGCCAGUAUUGACGCUGAGGAGCGAAAGCGUGGGGAGCGAACAGG
rnacentral:rRNA from 1 species